rnacentral:lncRNA from 1 species
AAGUCAUAAAUUCCCUGACGAAAAACAAAUGAUAAAAUUCCCAUGUGGGGUCCAUAUAAGCCGCGUUUGGGUGUCGGUGUAGCGGAGUAGGCUGACGUGUCGGCUGGCUGUGCAAAUGAGUAAAUGUGAGCGGCGCCGUAGGAUAUCGGCUCCUCUUGUUCAAUUGGAAUUUGACUCUUCACGGGUUCUCAUUAUGAAAACCUGGUUUUUCUGGAUAAUCGAGCUCAGAUUUAACCAUGAUUAUAUUUCUUUUGGUUGUUACUACCGGUACUUGUCAGAAUCUAAAUACCUAGUAUUAUAUACGUCUUGAAACUCGGACGAUCGACAAGGUAAAAUUCCUUAUAUUAUUUAAUUACUAAUUCAAGCUUUGUCGGUAUUUUUCUUUCUUUGUUUGAAGAAGUUCCACUGCAACAUCAUCAAAUUAGUUGAAUUUUCUAUAUGUUUAAUGAGAGGAAUUUGAUUGUCAUUUCACAUUUUUCAUUAAUGUGAGGAAUUUGAUAUUUGCAAUUCAUAAAAAUAAUUCACUUUUUACUGAAAAUUUCUUUUGUUAUAGGAUGUGUUUGAUACGUAGGAAAAUUUUUUCAUGAAAAAUAUUUUUCAGCCAUGUUUGCUUACAAAGUAAAAAAUAUGUUUUAGAAAAUAAUUUUUUAUGUUACUUUCUUUACCCUCCCCCCCCCCCCCCCUCUUCCCUAAAUUCUCAUGUUUCAUGUACUCUCAGACCUCCCCCUCCCGCAAAAAUAACUUUGAAAUUUGUGCUACAUAACUAAAAAAAAUAUACUUUUUUGUAGAAAAAGAAAGUACUGUCUCUACAACAUGACAAAAGUACUCAUUUUGUUAAAAUGGAAAAAAAUAAUUUUUCUAUUUCAUGAAAAGAAAGUGCUUUUUUGUUGAAAUGAAAGAAAAUAUUUUUUUUUACAUCAUGGAAAUGGAAAAAACAGUAUUCUAUUUACAAUACGAAAAAAGAGUACUCUUAAUAAUAUUUCUCUUUAGGGUGGGGGUAGGGCACGGUUAGGUUGGUGGGGUGUGAGGGGAGAGGGUUGGUGGGAAUGGAGAAUAGGGCGGGAAUAGUUGAAGAAGAGUUUUGGAAAAUGCUUUCCCUUCUUUUGAUAGGGAAAAUAUUUUCCUCCAAUUGGAGGAAAAUAUUUCUAAAACAUUUAAACCAAACAUGGAAAAAUUGAAAAAUAUUUUUCUUUGUACCAAACACACCCAUAAUGUAAGAGCUUUCUCGAGACAUUGUCUUAUUCUUAGUUCUGUCCCAAAUAGAGGCGAAUCCAGAAAUUGAAGGUAACAAAUACCACAUUCUUUUAAUGUACACCUUUGUAUAGGUCAAAAUCUGAUCAAAAGAAUUCUACUUAAGGAAGAACGACCAAGAAUCAACCAAGCCGAAGUCACGUAUAUGAAGCAAUAUAUCAGCGAAUGAUUUAGCCACGGUUGAGGUCGAGUAUACAAUCGCCCCGAACGGCUAGUUCAACACUUAGACAUUUUAGAGGAAGAUAUUUCAAGAAUUUAGGUACUCCGGUUAAGGAUCGCUGGGUAAGGAAAGUGUUUUAUAUAAAUAUCAUGGGAGAGGAACGCACCAGAGGGGAGGGGAGACAGAUACAUCUCUCAAAAAGUGAAGAUAUUCCAAAAAUCUCAGACUCCUCGCCGAGAAAGGAGAUAGGAGCUUAGAAUCUCAGUAUACAUCUGUAAUUCGACUUCAUCAAAUGAAUGGAAGUCGAUCUUGUUUAAGAAUGAUGACUCUUUUCAUUUAUAUAUUCUUCAUUAUCAUUUGAUAUUAUUGGAGUAAUCAUCUAUUUCUUACAUUAUGAGAUUCAAUCGCAAUUGUGAUCAAAUUUUAUAUUCAGU